AUUGAACGCUGGCGGCAGGCCUAACACAUGCAAGUCGAGCGGAUGAAGUGAGCUUGCUCCUGGAUUCAGCGGCGGACGGGUGAGUAAUGCCUAGGAAUCUGCCUGGUAGUGGGGGAUAACGUCCGGAAACGGGCGCUAAUACCGCAUACGUCCUGAGGGAGAAAGUGGAGGAUCUUCGGACCUCACGCUAUCAGAUGAGCCUAGGUCGGAUUAGCUAGUUGGUGGGGUAAAGGCCUACCAAGGCGACGAUCCGUAACUGGUCUGAGAGGAUGAUCAGUCACAUUGGAACUGAGACACGGUCCAGACUCCUACGGGAGGCAGCAGUGGGGAAUAUUGGACAAUGGGCGAAAGCCUGAUCCAGCCAUGCCGCGUGUGUGAAGAAGGUCUUCGGAUUGUAAAGCACUUUAAGUUGGGAGGAAGGGCAGUAAGUUAAUACCUUGCUGUUUUGACGUUACCAACAGAAUAAGCACCGGCUAACUUCGUG
rnacentral:rRNA from 1 species